rnacentral:rRNA from 1 species
GAUGAACGCUGGCGGUAUGCUUAACACAUGCAAGUCGAACGGACUCUUCGGAGUUAGUGGCGGACGGGUGAGUAACGCGUGAGAAUCUGGCUUUGGGUUCGGGACAACCACUGGAAACGGUGGCUAAUACCGGAUGUGCCGAGAGGUAAAAGAGAGAUUGCCUGAAGAUGAGCUCGCGUCUGAUUAGCUAGUUGGUGAGGUAAAGGCUCACCAAGGCAGCGAUCAGUAGCUGGUCUGAGAGGAUGACCAGCCACACUGGGACUGAGACACGGCCCAGACUCCUACGGGAGGCAGCAGUGGGGAAUUUUCCGCAAUGGGCGAAAGCCUGACGGAGCAAUACCGCGUGAGGGAAGAAGGCUCUUGGGUUGUAAACCUCUUUUCUUAGGGAAGAACAAAAUGACGGUACCUAAGGAAUCAGCAUCGGCUAACUCCGU